AUUGAACGCUGGCGGAAUGCUUUACACAUGCAAGUCGAACGGUAGAGGGGGCAACCCCUUGAGAGUGGCGAACGGGUGAGUAAUAUAUCGGAACGUGCCCAGUCGUGGGGAUAACGUAGCGAAAGUUACGCUAAUACCGCAUACGAUCUAAGGAUGAAAGCGGGGGAUCGCAAGACCUCGCGCGAUUGGAGCGGCCGAUAUCAGAUUAGGUAGUUGGUGAGGUAAAGGCUCACCAAGCCAACGAUCUGUAGCUGGUCUGAGAGGACGACCAGCCACACUGGAACUGAGACACGGUCCAGACUCCUACGGGAGGCAGCAGUGGGGAAUUUUGGACAAUGGACGCAAGUCUGAUCCAGCCAUUCCGCGUGCAGGAUGAAGGCCCUCGGGUUGUAAACUGCUUUUGUACGGAACGAAAGGUUUCUAUUAAUACUAGGAGCUCAUGACGGUACCGUAAGAAUAAGCACCGGCUAACUACGUGCCAGCAGCCGCGGUAAAGUG
rnacentral:rRNA from 1 species